rnacentral:lncRNA from 1 species
AGACACUCCUGUGUUUCACCCAGCCCUCCAGGGACUGUAUUCCAGAGUCUGAAUAAACAGGAACAUGCUAAGACAUUGGAUCUGUUACUCUGUACUACCUGCAAGUCCAUAUACUACUGCAUUUGUCAGCCUUGGCAUUUCAGACAAAGAGGAGAGAAUGGAUUCAACACAGACAAAUAAACCUGCUGCUGGAUGGGAAAAGACAGACAUUAUAAUGGAUGGAAUACAACUUAAGCAUUUUCCAAUUCUUUUAACUUGCUACCUUGUGGCAACGUACAUUGUUCAGGCCAUAGAUUAUGUCUCCCUUACAAAUGAGACCAUGCAAACAAACACACAGAGUAGGUUGGAAAAACAAUGUCUCCUGAAGCUGUUAUAGCAUCCAGUAUUUCAGAUAAAGUCCAUCAAACCACAACGCAGGGUGCAACUAUCAGCCACAAUACAAGGCUCAGAAUGGAUAGCGGCAGUAACUCUCCUUUAAUAACCACAUCAUAUGUGGCACAUGUUGCAUCAAACACCAUUCACCAUCCAAGCUCAAACACUAACAAGUCUUCAGAUAUCACAAGAUUCAAAUCUGUUGCGACUCUACCACGUAAUUUUUUAUCAUCUACUAGAACUAUAAAUCAAACAACAUCAGAAAUGCUGGAAGCAGCUGAUCAGCUUUUCACAACCAUACCAACAAUCACCCGUGAAGCUCUAACUCCAAAUUGUACAACCCAGGCUCCAGCAGGAGAAGCUCAUCUAUGGACUUCCAAGACCAUUCUGGCUAUUAGUUUCAACAGCCUCACCUUUACUCUUCUAGUGAUUAUUAUAUACAUUCAUAACAAGUACGGGAAAAGAAUUGCCCAGUAUUCACAUCAUCAACUGAAUGAGAACUCUCCUGAAACAGGUUGGCCCAACUUUUUAAAAUGACAUAUUCUAUGAAGACAAACCUACAUUUCCAAGUGUAUAACAUGCAUGAGACAGAACCAUUUUCUGAUUCUGCUUAAUAGAGCACUGAAACGCAGUAACUUCUCAGACAGAACCUGCAGCACACUGCCAGAGCCUUUGCACAUAUUCACAGGGUACCUGGAGGUUAGGUCUUGGAGUAUUUCAAGCCAAGACUGACAGUAGGUCUGCUCUGCUAAAUGCAGCAAAAUUCCAGGAUGCUUCUGGAAGGGCACUGCUGCUCAAAAGAAUGUAAAUGGAAUGCUAUGCAGACUUUGUAUGAACUGCAGAAAUAAGAGACAUCCUCUACGGAAGCUGCUGUAGAUCCUGGGCUUGAGGGAAAGUACUCCUCCACGGAAAUAAGUUAUAAAUUGAUAUCUGCACAAUCAUUAUCAAUUAUAUCCUUACUAAUGGGACAUUUAAUAUUUCAUACCUCUUUAAAACAGAUUGGAAAGUAAAAACUCAGAGGAAAAAGAAA